AAAAAAAAGCUUUUUACUAGGUUUAUCAGGUGGGCAGUAAUUUACAGCUGCUGGGUUGGGGUAGGAGCAAUUGUUGUCCAAACUGAAAUAAAAUGUAUAUUUGAAGGGAUGUUUCUUAACAUGCAGACCUUUGGUUCUUGGUUAGUGCCUCCCACAUCUAUUAUCUAUGAACAGCCUGUGAGCCCAUUGUUUCAGGACUGAAUUCUCUCCUUAUAGGUAUGUUUGCCUGGAGGGAAGCUCUGCUCCCUGCCCUUUGGAUGGGAUUCAUGGAUACAGAUGUCCCAGUGGCUUCUACUGUCCUGCUGGCACCGGGGUAGAGCUGCCCUGUGAGCCUGGCAUGUUCAGCCCUGUGCCUGGGGCGAGUGUCUGCCUCCCCUGCCCAGCUGGUACGGCCUGCAGCAGUGCUGCCACCGUGGAGCCACUCAGCUGCCCCAGAGGUUACUAUUGUCCAGCAGGGACUGCUGCUCCCCUGCCCUGCCCUGAGGGGACGCUGAACGCCUUGGAGGGGGCCCUGGCCCUCACCGCCUGUAAGCUGUGUCCUGUGGGGAGGUACUGCAGAGGAGAUGCUAACUGGGAACCUGAUGGUCUGUGUUCGGCUGGGUACUACUGUGAGGGGGGAGCCACUGAUGCUGUUCCACACGGGACGCCUGGGUUCCCCCUCAGCGGGCCCUGCCCGCUUGGGCACUAUUGUCCAGAGGGAACUCCCUUCCCAGUCGCCUGCCCGGUUGGGACCCUGAACAACGGCACAGGUGGAACCUCUCCAGAGAGCUGUGUGCCGUGCGAUCCUGGGUCUUUCUGUGCUAGCCUUGGUUUAAGCUCUCCAACAGGACCUUGUACUGAGGGGUUUUAUUGCCCAGCAAACUUCAGCUCUUUCAGCCCCACAGCAUUCCUUUGCCCUAAGGGUCACUUCUGCCAGUCAGGGGCAGCCCACCCCACACCGUGCCCUCCUGGGGAAUACCAGCCGGCCAGGGGCUCCGCGUCCUGCAUUCCAUGCCAGAGAGGAUUCUACUGCCAGGACCUGGUGGCAGGAGACCCCAGGCGCUGCCCACCGCAUUCUUACUGUCCCACAGGCACACGGUUUCCUCAGACCUGUCCUGAAGGCACCUUUACUCCUCCAAAUAUGACUGGCCUCUGGAAUGAGAAGGAAUGCCUGCCUUGCUUACCUGGCCACUACUGCAGGCAUGGGCAGCUGGAGGGCAAGUGUGCUGCUGGCUACUUCUGCCUUGCUGGGAGCUCGCAGUCUGCUCCACAGGGCCCUGGCUUUUCCUGGCGCUUUCUGUCUGGAUGCCGCUGGGGUCAGGUUUGUGCUGGGCUGUGUCCUGCAGGUUUCUAUUGCCUGGAGGGCUCUGAGGUGCCCAUACCGUGUCCUUCCAAUACUAUUAGAGAUGUUCCAGGGGCUGGGCGGAGAGAAGACUGCCUGCCCUGUCCACCCGGCCACUGGUGCAAAGCAGGGGAUUCAGAGGUCUAUCCAUGUCCCUCAGGACACUAUUGCCUCGGAGGUAACGUCAGUGACCAAAGCAGUCUCCUGGCACCUCAGAAAUGCCCUCCGCACACUUACCGCAAACACCCCGGAGCUCAGAGUGUGACAGAUUGCCAGCCAUGUCCUCCAGGCUAUCACUGCCCUUUAUCAGGUCUAAGCAGGUUUGAGGAUUAUCCGUGCCCCCUGGGAUACUGGUGCCCUGGUAAAGGGGACGCUUUCCUUUGUCCACCUGGUACUUCCAGGAGCCAGCCGGGUGCAAAAUCACUGGAAGAGUGUGGUCCCUGCUCACCUGGAUACUAUUGCCCAGACCCAGCACACACAGGGCUACCUAACAGCCAAGGAGUACCUUGUAAACCUGGCUUUGAAUGCCCAGCAGGUUCAGUGAAUCCAAAGCCUUGCAGACCUGGCUCAUACUGUGGUGCUCACACAGCCGUGCCUUCUGUGUGCCCUGCUGGGUAUUACUGUCCUGAAGGCUCGUCAACAUACAAUAGCCCUGAGCAGCUGUGUGUGUUUCCCUACUACUGCCCCCCAGGCAGUGCCCAUCCACUGCCCUGUGAAGGAGGAUUCAUGGCCCUCAGCUUGCCCGGUCCAAGGGAUUCAUUUGAGAAAUUCUGCAGAAUCUGUGACGCAGGCAGCUAUCGUAACAUCUCUGCCAGCGCUGCCCCCUGUCAGCCCUGCCCAGCAGGCUUCAUCUGCCCACAAGGCAGUGAGAGUUACCAGGAGAAGCCUUGUCCCAGCGGCUACUACUGCCCUCCCCUGGCACCUGCCCCUCUUCCCUGUCCCCCAGGGACCCAUGGGAGCAGCAACUUUGCAAAGCAAGUAGAGGAUUGUCAGGCCUGUCCUGCUGGCACCUUCAACCACCUUCCUGCACAGGCUGCCUGUUUUCCCUGCGGCAGCUCUUCUUCGUCGCAGCCUGGUGCUACCAGCUGUACCUGCCGUGGGCUGAACCGGGCUUUCCAGCAGUCAGAUGCCUCCUGUAUCUGCCAGGCAGGUUACGUGUACUACGACGAGCGAGGCAAGGAAAACCCUGACGGCAACAGUGAUCAAGACUGCCUACCUCAGGUGGAUGAGCUCUGUGCUCCUGGAGAGGUUCGUCUGGCAUCUACACGCCAGUGCGUUUUUCCCGAGCAAUAUGACUGCUCUCCAUCUUGUGGGCCUGCAGGUGGAGAGAUUAAUGCAGAGCUGGGCAUAUGUCACUGCAAGCAGUAUGUCUCAGCUGAGGAGCUCUGUGACCAGUUGUGUUUGCUGAAAGCCCCACGGAUCUCCUUGAGAUUUGGCAUCAAGAGAGAGCUGCUUCUGAGGAUGAGUGAAGGAGAAGUCAGGGAGGUGGCAAAUGUUCUGGGCCCAGACGACCAUGUGCAGAAGAGCCAGCGGGUGCAUUUGGUUCUGUUUAGCCCUGGUGGAGUGCUAGGUUUUAUUGUCUCCAGCACAGAUGUUUUGGAUGCAUUUCUCACAGGAGAUUUUUCAUCAGAUCAGGUGCUACAGAAAGGUCAUCAAGUGCAGAGGGCUUUCUUCAAAGAUACGCAUGCUUUGCCCCUUGUCCCUAACCCACUGGUAUGUCUGGAAGCAGGAGACACAAUCCUUUUCCAGCUUAGCAUCGAUUCUCACAGUGAGUGUUGCUUGGGUCUGUGUGCCCUUUGUGGAUAUAUCGGCGUUCAGAGCAGUGACUGUACUUUUGGUAGCGCUGCAUGUACGAGCACAUUCCUUCACCUCCCAGGCUGUCUUGCCUUCAAGGGAUUCCUCAUCAUUAGUCUAGGCUCUGCCAGUGACUCAUCUGGUGUUUUUACAUUUUGA
ensembl:lncRNA